rnacentral:rRNA from 2 species
AAGUCUGACGGAGCACGCCGCGUGAGUGAUGAAGGUUUUCGGAUCGUAAAGCUCUGUUGUUAGGGAAGAACAAGUACCGUUCGAAUAGGGCGGUACCUUGACGGUACCUAACCAGAAAGCCACGGCUAACUACGUGCCAGCAGCCGCGGUAAUACGUAGGUGGCAAGCGUUGUCCGGAAUUAUUGGGCGUAAAGGGCUCGCAGGCGGUUUCUUAAGUCUGAUGUGAAAGCCCCCGGCUCAACCGGGGAGGGUCAUUGGAAACUGGGGAACUUGAGUGCAGAAGAGGAGAGUGGAAUUCCACGUGUAGCGGUGAAAUGCGUAGAGAUGUGGAGGAACACCAGUGGCGAAGGCGACUCUCUGGUCUGUAACUGACGCUGAGGAGCGAAAGCGUGGGGAGCGAACAGGAUUAGAUACCCUGGUAGUCCACGCCGUAAACGAUGAGUGCUAAGUGUUAGGGGGUUUCCGCCCCUUAGUGCUGCAGCUAACGCAUUAAGCACUCCGCCUGGGGAGUACGGUCGCAAGACUGAAACUCAAAGGAAUUGACGGGGGCCCGCACAAGCGGUGGAGCAUGUGGUUUAAUUCGAAGCAACGCGAAGAACCUUACCAGGUCUUGACAUCCUCUGACAAUCCUAGAGAUAGGACGUCCCCUUCGGGGGCAGAGUGACAGGUGGUGCAUGGUUGUCGUCAGCUCGUGUCGUGAGAUGUUGGGUUAAGUCCCGCAACGAGCGCAACCCUUGAUCUUAGUUGCCAGCAUUCAGUUGGGCACUCUAAGGUGACUGCCGGUGACAAACCGGAGGAACGUGGGGAUGACGUCAAAUCAUCAUGCCCCUUAUGACCUGGGCUACACACGUGCUACAAUGGACAGAAACAAAGGGCAGCGAACCGCGAGGUUUAAGCCAAUCCCACAAAUCUGUUCUCAGUUCGGAUCGCAGUCUGCAACUCGACUGCGUGAAGCUGGCAUCGCUAGUAAUCGCGGAUCAGCAUGGCGCGAUGAAUACGUUCCGGUCGUGUACACACCGCCCGUCAACCACGAGAGGUGUAACACCGGAAGUG